AUCGCUUCUCGGCUUUCCUAAGCUAAGAUCAAAAGUGUAGUAUCUGUUCUUAUCAGCGUGAUAUCUGAUAUGAUCCCCAUGUGGGAUCUUCGAUAUUAAACUGAUUUUUGGAUCAUGGCAAAGUGCUAGGGGCUUGCUCCACCUUUGCUGCGGAUCAGCCCGGUAUUGCAUUAUCUCCGGGAUUGGUCCACUCCUC